rnacentral:rRNA from 1 species
GCAGUCGAGGGGUAGAGGAGCUUGCCUCCUUGAGACCGGCGCACGGGUGCGUAACGCGUAUGCAAUCUACCUUGUACAGAGGGAUAGCCCAGAGAAAUUUGGAUUAAUACCUCAUAGUAUUAUUGAAUGGCAUCAUUUAAUAAUUAAAGUUCCAACGGUACAAGAUGAGCAUGCGUCCUAUUAGCUAGUUGGUGUGGUAACGGCAUACCAAGGCUACGAUAGGUAGGGGCCCUGAGAGGGAGAUCCCCCACACUGGUACUGAGACACGGACCAGACUCCUACGGGAGGCAGCAGUGAGGAAUAUUGGACAAUGGGCGCAAGCCUGAUCCAGCCAUGCCGCGUGCAGGAAGACGCAUCUAUGGUGUGUAAACUGCUUUUGUACGGGAAGAAACACUCCCUCGUGAGGGAGCUUGACGGUUACCGUAAGAAUAAGGAUCGGCUAACUCCGUGCCAGCAGCCGCGGUAAUACGGAGGAUCCAAGCGUUAUCCGGAAUCAUUGGGUUUAAAGGGUCCGUAGGCCGGUUUAAUAAGUCAGUGGUGAAAGCCCAUCGCUCAACGAUGGGAACGGCCAUUGAUACUGUUAGACUUGAAUUACAAGGAAGUAACUAGAAUAUGUAGUGUAGCGGUGAAAUGCUUAGAUAUUACAUGGAAUACCAAUUGCGAAGGCAGGUUACUACUUGUGGAUUGACGCUGAUGGACGAAAGCGUGGGGAGCGAACAGGAUUAGAUACCCUGGUAGUCCACGCCGUAAACGAUGGAUACUAGCUGUUGGGAGCAAUUUCAGUGGCUAAGCGAAAGUGAUAAGUAUCCCACCUGGGGAAGUACGUUCGCAAGAAUGAAACUCAAAGGAAUUGACGGGGGCCCCGCACAAGCGGUGGAGCAUGUGGUUUAAUUCGAUGAUACGCGAGGAACCUUACCAAGGCCUUAAAUGGGAAACGACAAAUUUGGAAACAGAUUUUUCUUCGGACGUUUUUCAAGGUGCUGCAUGGUCGUCGUCAGCUCGUGCCGUGAGGUGUCAGGUUAAGUCCUAUAACGAGCGCAACCCCUGUUGUUAGUUGCCAGCGAGUCAAGUCGGGAACUCUAGCAAGACUGCCAGUGUAAACUGUGAGGAAGGUGGGGAUGACGUCAAAUCAUCACGGCCCUUACGCUUUGGGCUACACACGUGCUACAAUGGACGGUACAGAGAGCAGCCACUACGUGAGUAGGAGCGAAUCUA